rnacentral:rRNA from 1 species
GACGAACGCUGGCGGCGCGCUUAACACAUGCAAGUCGAACGGAAAGGCCUGCUUUCCCUUGUGGAUUGCGGGUACUCGAGUGGCGAACGGGUGAGUAACACGUGAGUGAUCUGCCCCCAACUUGGGUAUAAGCCUGGGAAACUGGGUCUAAUUCCCGAUAGGACUGCAGGGUGGUGCCUGUGGUGGAAAACGAUUUUCUAGUGGUUGGGGAUGAGCUCGCGGCCUAUCAGCUUGUUGGUGGGGUAAUGGCCUACCAAGGCGGCGACGGGUGGCCGGCCUGAGAGGGUGGACGGCCACAUUGGGACUGAGAUACGGCCCAGACUCCUACGGGAGGCAGCAGUGGGGAAUAUUGCACAAUGGGCGGAAGCCUGAUGCAGCGACGCCGCGUGGGGGAUGACGGCCUUCGGGUGGUAAACUCCUUUCGACCGCGAGGAAGCCACCUGGUUGGAAGGGUGGUGACGGUAGUGGUAGAAGAAGCACCGGCUAACUACGUG